GAGGUGGGCAAGUUAGUUGCUCCAAAUACAAGAUAAAGUGAUUGAGUUCUUUUCUCAAGCGGGAGUCGGAGUUUAUCCACUCUUAGAGCCCCAGCAGCUACUAUUAAUGAGUGUCUGGAAUAUGUUCCUGGCAUUUCACCUACACUCUCUCCAAUCCUUCCAAGAAACUCACAAAGCAGGGCUUUUUCUUGAACUUCUCUUCCUCACAACAGUUAAAUCAUCCAUUUAAAGAUGUCAGACAAGCUCUGUGUUCUAAGAUGCUGGACCCCUGAAUAUGGAGGGCCAACUACACUAGAAACACACAUGCUAGCUGGGAAAGAUGCUGGCUUAAGGGACACAGCAUGUACAACCUCACAUAGAGUUCCUGACCAGACAAGACUCGCUGGAAAUUUCCCAGGAUCUUCCUUCCUUAAGCAUCCAUCAUGGGAAGCCACCUUGCCCUAGGGAGAGCUCCUGACCUAGGGUGGUUAGAAAAUAUUAAGGAAGACAGCAAUUAAUAAAUUCAAAAAUAAUAAUAAUUACAAAUUAUGUCUGUGUGUUAGGAAAACUUGGAUAAGCAGGUCCAUAGAAAUUCCUCUGCUAGCCCUGUCUCCUGGCAUUUCUACAUAAUAGCAUAUCCUCAGUUUGAAUAGCUCUCUGGUUCCAGUUUGAAGCUGAAAAGGUUAAAUUCUACCUGAAGGAUGAAAACAACCAACAUCUGUGCCA
rnacentral:antisense_RNA from 1 species